CACGUAGGGUCCGAGCGUUGUCCGGAAUUAUUGGGCGUAAAGGGCUCGUAGGCGGUUUGUCGCGUCGGGAGUGAAAACGCCGGGCUUAACUCGGUGCUUGCUUUCGAUACGGGCAGACUAGAGGCAUGCAGGGGAGAACGGAAUUCCUGGUGUAGCGGUGAAAUGCGCAGAUAUCAGGAGGAACACCGGUGGCGAAGGCGGUUCUCUGGGCAUGUCCUGACGCUGAGGAGCGAAAGUGUGGGGAGCGAACAGG
rnacentral:rRNA from 1 species